rnacentral:rRNA from 1 species
CAACGUGGGGAACCUGCCCCAUAGUCUGGGAUACCACUUGGAAACAGGUGCUAAUACCGGAUAAGAAAGCGGAUCGCAUGAUCAGCUUUUAAAAGGCGGCGUAAGCUGUCGCUAUGGGAUGGCCCCGCGGUGCAUUAGCUAGUUGGUAAGGUAAAGGCUUACCAAGGCGAUGAUGCAUAGCCGAGUUGAGAGACUGAUCGGCCACAUUGGGACUGAGACACGGCCCAAACUCCUACGGGAGGCAGCAGCC